rnacentral:rRNA from 1 species
CGGCGUGCCUAAUACAUGCAAGUCGAACGGUCUUUCUAUGGAAGCUUGCUCCACUGAGAAGAUAGUGGCGAACGGGUGAGUAACACGUGGGUAACCUGCCCAUAAGAGGGGGGAUAACAUCCGGAAACGGGUAGCUAAUACCGCAUAGUUUUCUUGAUCGCAUGAUUGGGAAGGAAAGACGGCCUUUGUGCUGUCGCUUAUGGAUGGACCCGCGGCGUAUUAGUUAGUUGGUGAGGUAACGGCUCACCAAGACGAUGAUACGUAGCCGACCUGAGAGGGUGAUCGGCCACAUUGGGACUGAGACACGGCCCAAACUCCUACGGGAGGCAGCAGUAGGGAAUCUUCCGCAAUGGACGAAAGUCUGACGGAGCAACGCCGCGUGAGUGAAGAAAAGGUUUUCGGAUCGUAAAACUCUGUUGUCAGAGAAGAACAAGUUGGAGAGUAACUGCUCCAGCCUUGACGGUAUCUGACCAGAAAGCCACGGCUAACUACGUGCCAGCAGCGGC